CUGGCGGCGUGCCUAAUACAUGCAAGUCGAACGCACUCUCGUUUAGAUUGAAGGAGCUUGCUCCUGAUUGAUAAACAUUGAGUGAGUGGCGGACGGGUGAGUAACACGUGGGUAACCUGCCCUAAAGUGGGGGAUAACAUUUGGAAACAGAUGCUGAUACCGCAUAAAACCUAACACCGCAUGGUGUAGGGUUGAAAGAUGGUUUCGGCUAUCACUUUAGGAUGGACCCGCGGUGCAUUAGUUAGUUGGUGAGGUAAAGGCUCACCAAGACCGUGAUGCAUAGCCGACCUGAGAGGGUAAUCGGCCACACUGGGACUGAGACACGGCCCAGACUCCUACGGGAGGCAGCAGUAGGGAAUCUUCCACAAUGGACGAAAGUCUGAUGGAGCAACGCCGCGUGAGUGAAGAAGGUUUUCGGAUCGUAAAACUCUGUUGUUGGAGAAGAAUGUAUUUGAUAGUAACUGAUCAGGUAGUGACGGUAUCCAACCAGAAAGCCACGGCUAACUACGUG
rnacentral:rRNA from 1 species